rnacentral:rRNA from 1 species
UACGAAGGGGGCUAGCGUUGUUCGGAAUUACUGGGCGUAAAGGGCGCGUAGGCGGUGUGUCAAGUCAGAUGUGAAAGCCCCGGGCUUAACCUGGGAACUGCGUUUGAAACUGGGGAGCUAGAGUGUAGAAGAGGGGGGUGGAAUUCCAGGUGUAGCAGUGAAAUGCGUAGAUAUCUGGAGGAACACCGAUGGCGAAGGCAGCCCCCUGGGCUAACACUGACGCUCAUGCACGAAAGCGUGGGGAGCAAACAGG